rnacentral:rRNA from 1 species
GCCUAAAAUACCACAUUCCAACAUUAAGCCUGAAGAAAAUCUUCUAACUUGCACAGUACUAUGUAAAAACCCAAACUCACUAUAGCCGCAAGGGCCCUAACCAGCUAAACUUAGAAAAGCUAACCUCUUGUCCCUUUUGUACCAUGGAGAAGCAACACAACCAUAACUAUUUAUUCUCCCGAAUAACUGUGAGCUACUAAGCCCUCACUAAAUCAAUGUCUCACAAUUGAUAAAUUAGCCAUUAGUAGAAGUAACAUGCCUUACAUACAGUUAAAUAGCUGGCUGUUCCUUCAAAGCACCUAAGUGCUACCUUAUAGUGCAUCGCCGCAACCAAGACACCUAUAAGAGCUAACCUCUUGAGGAUCAGCUCAGGAGGACACCUAAAAUGCUUACAUCCAAAGUUAAAAAAGUGGGCCUAAAAACAGCCAUCCAAUAGCGUUCCAGUUAGCUUAAACUACUCACACCAACAUAAAAACAAAAUUUUCACACAAAGGAACUUUAACACUAAACACACAGUGUUAGUAAACCGGCAUUCUAUUAGUAUUCACCUAACUGUUUUCGAACAGCCUUAAGAAAACCGAAAAUUAACCUACAAAACACCAUAAUUUGUAUAAAGCGAACUCGGCAACCAAGUUCCCUGCCUGUUUACCAAAAACAUCGUCUUUUGAGACCCAACAUAAAAGAUAAUGCCUGCCCAGUGAAACUUUAAACGGCCGCGUUAGCGUGAGCGUGCUAAGGUAGCGUAAUAAUUAGCCCCUUAAUUGGGGGCCAGUGAAUGGCAACACUAGGAACACCUGUACCCUGUACAUCAAAAAAACUUUUCAUUUAAGUGAAAAGACUUAAAUAACGAAAGAAGACGAAAAGACCCCGCGGAACUUUAUCUUGCACUCACCAUACGCCCACUAACGUACAUGACUAAAGAUUUGAUUGGGGCAAUCUUGGAACCACCAAACUUCCAAUUAUUCUAAUAAAAACAUCAAAAAUACGAUAAAGACAAAAAAGAAGUUACCCCGGGGAUAACAGCGUAAUCCAACUUAAGAGUACUCAUCGAAAGUUGGGUUUGCGACCUCGAUGUUGGCUUAAGGAUAUCCACAUAAGUGCAACCGCUAUGCCAGGAUAGUCUGUUCGACUAUUAUACCCUUACACGAGCUGAGUUAAGACCGGCGCAAGCUAGGUUGGUUUCUAUCUCUUUCAACAAAACUAUUCCUGAUUGUACGAAAGGACCCCAGGAAAUGCACCAAUAAAGCACCACAACUAAGUACAACCCAUCAGCCACUAUAACAAAUCACAACAACAC